rnacentral:tRNA from 1 species
GUCUUCGUGGCGUAGUGGUCAGCACGCUCGGCGCGUAUUCGAGAGGUCCGUGGUUCGAACCCGGCGAGGGUA